GCACAAACAAUUGCUGUCUAAUCUCAAGACGAAGGCCCCACUCGAAUCUUCUAGCCUUCCUGCCUUCGUUCAUCAUGUUCUCAGGAGAAUAUCGACCCAACUUCAGGAACUUACGAGCAUAUUCUGAUACAGUCAUGUCCCCCUGAACCAAGUAUGUAAAUUCCAUCUCCUUCAGAUGUCGGAGAUGCUCUAAGAGGUACUCUGCAUGAAAGGCCGUCAAGAACUAUUCCCAAGUGACUGAAAAGGGG
rnacentral:lncRNA from 1 species